rnacentral:rRNA from 1 species
GAUGAACGCUGGCGGCGUGCCUAAUACAUGCAAGUCGAGCGAACAGACGAGGAGCUUGCUCCUCUGACGUUAGCGGCGGACGGGUGAGUAACACGUAGAUAACCUACCUAUAAGACUGGGAUAACUUCGGGAAACCGGAGCUAAUACCGGAUAAUAUUUCGAACCGCAUGGUUCAAUAGUGAAAGACGGCUUUGCUGUCACUUAUAGAUGGAUCUGCGCCGCAUUAGCUAGUUGGUAAGGUAACGGCUUACCAAGGCAACGAUGCGUAGCCGACCUGAGAGGGUGAUCGGCCACACUGGAACUGAGACACGGUCCAGACUCCUACGGGAGGCAGCAGUAGGGAAUCUUCCGCAAUGGGCGAAAGCCUGACGGAGCAACGCCGCGUGAGUGAUGAAGGUCUUCGGAUCGUAAAACUCUGUUAUUAGGGAAGAACAAACGUGUAAGUAACUAUGCACGUCUUGACGGUACCUAAUCAGAAAGCCACGGCUAACUACGUG